rnacentral:lncRNA from 1 species
GCCACAAAAACGGGUGGGCUAUAGACUUGGGGGGUGGGGCUGGCCAACUUCGUCCGCCGGACUCGGAAUGCCGCGAGACUUUGCGAGGGUCCUCUGUGUGCCAAAAAUAGGCCGCGGGCAAAGCCGCACCCAAAACUAACCGCCCGAAGGCCGGGGCACCAAGUUCGUCCAGCGGAAAAUGGCCACAAAAACGGGUGGACUAUAGCCUUGGGGGGUGCGGCUGGCCAACUUCGUCCGCCGGACUCGGAGUGCCGCGAGACUUUGCGAGGGGCCUCCGUGUGGCAAAAAUAGGCCGCGGGUAAAGCCGCGCCCAAAAAUAACCGCCCGAAGGCCGGGGCGCCAAGUUCGACCAGCGGAAAAAGGCCACAAAAAAGGGUGGGCUAUUGCCUUGGGGGGUGGGGCCGGCCCACGUCGUCCGCCGGACUCGGAAUGGCGCGACACUUUCCGAGGCGCCUCCGUGUGCCAAAAAUAGGCCGCGGGCAGAGCUGCGCCCAAAAAUAACCGACCGAAGGCCGGGGCGCCAAGUUCGUCCAGCGGAAAAAGGCCAGAAAAACGGGUGGGCUAUAGCCUUGGGGGGUGCGGCUGGCCAACUUCGUCCGCCGGACUCGGAAUGGCGCGAGACAUUGCGAGCGGCCUCCGUGCACCAAGAAUAGGCCGCGGGCACAGACGCGCCCAAAAAUAAC